rnacentral:tRNA from 1 species
UCCCUGGUGGCUCAGUGGGUAAAGAAUCUGCCUGCCAGUGCAGGAGACACAGGUUUGAUCCCUGAUCUGGGAA